rnacentral:rRNA from 1 species
AAACUGCUUUUAUAUGUGAAGAUUAUGACGGUAACAUAUGAAUAAGGAUCGGCUAAUUCCGUGCCAGCAGCCGCGGUCAUACGGAAGAUCCAAGCGUUAUCCGGAAUUACUGGGCGUAAAGAGUUGCGUAGGCGGCACAGUAAGUAGGUAGUAAAAGCCUGGGGCUCAACCCCUUAAAUAUUAUCUAAACUGCUGAGCUAGAAUUUGGAAGAGGUAGCUGGAAUUCCUUGUGUAGGAGUGAAAUCCGUAGAUAUAAGGAGGAACACCGAUGGCGUAGGCAGGCUACUGGUCCAAUAUUGACGCUAAGGCACGAAAGCGUGGGGAGCAAACGGGAUUAGAUACCCCGGUAGUCCACGCCGUAAACUAUGGAUGCUAGCUGUUACCAGUAUCGACCCUGGUAGUAGCGAAGCUAACGCGUUAAGCAUCCCGCCUGUGGAGUACGAGCGCAAGCUUAAAACAUAAAGGAAUUGACGGGGACCCGCACAAGCGGUGGAGCGUGUUGUUUAAUUCGAUGAUAAGCGAAGAACCUUACCCAGGCUUGACAUCCUGUGAAGGUCUCCGAAAGGAGACUGUGCCUUCGGGAACGCAGUGACAGGUGUUGCAUGGCCGUCGUCAGCUCG